UAGUAAAAUAAAUUAAAUUUUAAAAUUUUGAGAUAUUGUAUUCAUAAUAAGUGUUGUAUUGUUUGCUGCCUCCUCAUCCUCUCACGUGAAGGACUUACACAGGGGCCAGUUGGACUGAGAGUAUUGUGGCUGGCUAAGACUGGCUAAUGUCAAAGGGAUAUCGCCUGGAAAGUAGUCUCUGCUCUAAUAGUAUUGAACGUUUAUUAACAAAGUAGUUUUUUUUUUUCCUGGUACUAGGGAUCAAACUGGACCUUGUGCUUGUGAGGCAGGCGUGGCGCCACUGAGCUAAAUCCCUGGCCUCAGAGCUAGAUGUUUGAUAGAAGAAGCUUCUGCAUAUAUUUUUGGUCUAAAAUUUUCAGUUUUCUUUGGAACAAUUUUAGAUCUACCAAAACUUUGUAGAAGAGAGUUCCUAUGCCCUCACCCGAAGUCAGCUUCCCCUCAUCUAGUCGUGUAUUGCUGUGGGAUGUUUGCCCAAACUGAGAAGCCAGCAUUGGUGUGUUUCCGUUACUCCAGUUUUUCUGUUCUGUCCUAUUCUGGGACUCAGUACAGGACACCACCUUGGUCUGUUGUUAUUGCUCCUUAGUCUCCUCUGGUUUGUGACAGUUUCUCAGUCUUACCCUUGGUUUUCAUCACCUUAACAGUUUUGAGGCAAAUGAGAUAGGCAGGGUUCAGAAUGUCCCUCAGUUGGGGUUUCCCUGGGGUGGCAGGUUUCUGGUAGGACCACAGAGGCGCCAUGGCUUUAUUGUGACAUCAUCUUGAGUGUACAGUGUUACCACAUGAUGUCACUUUGUUACCCUUCAUCACUUCGUUAAGGUGGAAGCUGACUAAUUUUUCCUUUACAUGGGAAAUCUCUGGGAAAAUGAGCCAUUUCUCCAAGGAGCCCUGAUGCCUCUCAGAACAGAGUGCUCCGCCGCCCGCCCCCCCCAGUACUGAGGAUCAAAUUCAAGACCUUGCACUUGCCAGAGGAACAGAGUUCUUAAACAGAAUAAAAGACUGGGCUACAUGGUGCAGGUGUGGACGCUGUAGGCAGGGACUGCCUCGUGUCCUCCAGGGUCAGAAGAGCUUGCUGCAGAGCAAACACCCGUUCCCUGGGUUCUGGGCACAAGCCGCCUGAUCGUAUCUGGGCAGCACAGUGUGCCUUUCCAGUAUUUGUGGGGAAGUCACCAGGAUAGAUCUGUGGUCCCUCUUCCCUUGGUGGCCGCUAACAUCAAGGGCCCCUGGUGCUGAGCCCCAGUCAGGAGUGUCCAGCUUUCCCCUCCUUCUAAAGUUGUAAUGAAAAUAUUUUUAAAUAAAGUUGUUUUUAUAUACAUGAGCUGUAUUGUAUGUUUGAUGUGUGCCCCAAGACAAUUGUCCUUUACUCAAAAGAGGGUGGAAAAAAGGGUGGACCACAGGUUGGACACAUCUGCAGG
rnacentral:lncRNA from 1 species